rnacentral:rRNA from 1 species
UAUUGGUCAAUGGACGCAAGUCUGAACCAGCCAUGCCGCGUGCAGGAAGACGGCUCUAUGAGUUGUAAACUGCUUUUGUACGAGGGUAAAUGAAGGUACGUGUAUCCGUUUGAAAGUAUCGUACGAAUAAGGAUCGGCUACCUCCGUGACAGCAGCCGCGGUAAUACGGAGGAUCCAAGCGUUAUCCGGAUUUAUUGGGUUUAAAGGGUGCGUAGGCGGUUUUAUAAGUUAGAGGUGAAAUCUCGGGGCUCAACUCCGAAAUUGCCUCUAAUACUGUAGGACUAGAGAGUAAUUGCGGUAGGCGGAAUGUAUGGUGUAGCGGUGAAAUGCUUAGAGAUCAUACAGAACACCGAUUGCGAAGGCAGCUUACCAAACUAUAUCUGACGUUGUGGCACGAAAGCGUGGGUAGCAAACAGG